rnacentral:RNase_P_RNA from 3 species
ACAUGUGAGGCGAUCGCGCCGCAGCUUGCUGCGGUGAGGAAAGUCCACGCUCGCCCGGGCUGCGAUGCCCGGAGUUCGGAUGCCUGCCCAAAAAAUAAGGCAGGGCAGCCUGCAAAGGCUGACGGCGGAGGAAACGUGCUACGUUCGCUUUGGCGAAUAUGCAGGAGUACUCCUGAAAGUGCCACAGUGACGAAGCUUCCCGGAAACGGGAAGAGUGGAACGAGGUAAACCCCAUCUGCGAGAAACCCAAACUUUGGUCGGGGAACUGCUUGGAGGGAAUCUGAACCGAAAAGCGGAUCGGCAGCAAUGCCGAUAGUCAAAUGGUUGCCACUCAUAGUGCGAGGCCGACAAAGCCGUUUGAAGCACGGAGGAACAGAACGUGGCUUACAACA